GUCAUAUAUAUGAUUCCUCUGAUGGACCUGGGCAAAGUAAAUUGAAAACCUUCUGGAAGGGAUUCACCAUUUUAGAUACCAUUAAGAACAUUCAGGAUUCAUAGAGGAGGUCAAAAUAUCAACAUUAAAUGAAAGUUUGAAAGAAGUUGAUUCCAAUCCUCAUGGAUUUAAAAGCUUCUUUUUCUUAAAAGUAAUCAGAAUCUUUUAGCAAUUCAAGACUUCAGUAGAGGAAGUAACUGCAGAUGUGGAAACAGCAAGAGAACUAAAAUUAGAAGUG
rnacentral:lncRNA from 10 species